rnacentral:rRNA from 1 species
UUUUAAGCUUUUUAGAGCAUACGGUGGAUGCCUUGGCACAAGGAGCCGAUGAAGGACGUGAGAGUCUGCGAUAAGCCUCGGGGAGUUGACAACUAAGCUGUGAUCCGAGGAUGUCCGAAUGGGGAAACCCACCAGGCGUUAUGGUCUGGUACCUGCCAGUGAAUGUAUAGCUGGUUUGGAGGGAACGCGGGGAAGUGAAACAUCUCAGUACCCGCAGGAAGAGAAAACAAUAGUGAUUCCGUUAGUAGUGGCGAGCGAAAGCGGAUGGGGCUAAACCAUGUGCGUGUGAUACCCGGCAGGGUUUGCGUGUGUGGGGUUGUGGGAUGCGUUUGUUACUGGUCUGCCGGCUGGUUGGCGUGAGUGUUUUGUGGUAGCUGAAGUCGUGUUGAGUGCGGCGGCGUAGAGGGUGUGACCCCCGUAAGCGAAACUGCGGAGCAGCGUUUAAUGUAUUCCCAAGUAGUACCGGACUCGUGGAAUCCGGUGUGAAUCUGCCAGGACCACCUGGUAAGCCUAAAUACUUCCUUGUGACCGAUAGCGGACAAGUACCGUGAGGGAAAGGUGAAAAGUACCCCGGGAGGGGAGUGAAAUAGUACCUGAAACCGUGUGCUUACAAUCCGUCGGAGCCUUUAGGGGUGACGGCGUGCCUUUUGAAGAAUGAGCCUGCGAGUUAGUGGUCGGUGGCGAGGUUAACCCGUGUGGGGAAGCCGUAGCGAAAGCGAGUCUUAAUGGGGCGUUUUUAGUCGCCGGCUCUAGACCCGAAGCGAAGUGAUCUAUCCAUGGGCAGGUUGAAGCGCGGGUAAGACCGUGUGGAGGACCGAACCCACUUCAGUUGAAAAUGGAGGGGAUGACCUGUGGAUAGGGGUGAAAGGCCAAUCAAACUUCGUGAUAGCUGGUUCUCCCCGAAAUGCAUUUAGGUGCAGCGUCACGUGUUUCGUGCUGGAGGUAGAGCACUGGAUAGGCGAUGGGCCCCACCGGGUUACUGACCUUAGCCAAACUCCGAAUGCCAGUACGUUAGAGCGUGGCAGUGAGACUGUGGGGGAUAAGCUUCAUAGUCGAGAGGGAAACAGCCCAGAACAUCAGCUAAGGCCCCUAAGCGUGUGCUAAGUGGGAAAGGAUGUGGAGUUGCUUAGACAACCAGGAGGUUGGCUUAGAAGCAGCCACCCUUGAAAGAGUGCGUAAUAGCUCACUGGUCAAGUGAUUCUGCGCCGACAAUGUAGCGGGGCUCAAGUACACCGCCGAAGCUGUGUCAUUCCAUUUUUGUGGGAUGGGUAGGGGAGCGUCGUGCAGACUGUGAAGCUGCGGGGUAACCCAGUGGUGGAGGCUGCACGAGUGAGAAUGCAGGCAUGAGUAGCGAAAGAAGGGUGAGAAACCCUUCCGCCGAAUGAUCAAGGGUUCCAGGGCCAGGUUAAUCCGCCCUGGGUAAGUCGGGACCUAAGGCGAGGCCGACAGGCGUAGUCGAUGGACAACGGGUGAAUAUUCCCGUACCGGUUGUGUGAGGACCCAUACCGAGGCGUUUGAUGCUAACCAUCUACUGAUCUUGCUGGCACUUUCGGGUGUUGGUUUUGGUUGGUGCGUGGGAACCGAUGACGUAUUAGGUUAGCGCAUGGGAGGACGUAGUGAGGUAGCUUCCGCGGGGCGAUGGUUGUCCCCGUGCAAGCGUGCAGCCCGAGAACUGGUAAUGCAGUUCCGUGUUGGGUGAGACGUUAAGCGGAGCCCGUAGGGUGAAGGUGAGUGAUCCUGGACUACCUAGAAAAGUUCCUGCGUUACGAGCACAUCCGCCCGUACCCUAAACCGACUCAGGUGAUCUGGUAGAGAAUACCAAGGCGUUCGAGAGAAUCGUGGUUAAGGAACUCGGCAAAAUGCCCCCGUAACUUCGGGAGAAGGGGGGCCUGAGCAGUGAGAGCUGUGAGGGCCGCAGAGACCAGGGAGAAGCGACUGUUUACUAAAAACACAGGUCCGUGCGAAGUCGUAAGACGCUGUAUACGGACUGACGCCUGCCCGGUGCUGGAAGGUUAAGAGGACCGGUUAGAGCCUUUUGGUUCGAAGCUGAGAAUUUAAGCCCCAGUAAACGGCGGUGGUAACUAUAACCAUCCUAAGGUAGCGAAAUUCCUUGUCGGGUAAGUUCCGACCUGCACGAAUGGCGUAACGACUUCUCCACUGUCUCAACCGCGAACUCGGCGAAAUUGCAUUACGAGUAAAGAUGCUCGUUACGCGCAGCAGGACGGAAAGACCCCGGGACCUUUACUAUAGUUUGGUAUUGGUGUUCGGGACGGCUUGUGUAGGAUAGGUGGGAGACUGAGAAGCAUGGACGCUAGUUUGUGUGGAGUCGUUGUUGAAAUACCACUCUGGUCGUUCUGGAUUCCUAACUUCGGACCAUUAUCUGGUUCAGGGACAGUGCCUGAUGGGUAGUUUAACUGGGGCGGUUGCCUCCUAAAGAGUAACGGAGGCGCUCAAAGGUUCCCUCAGCCUGGUUGGCAAUCAGGUGUUGAGUGUAAGUGCACAAGGGAGCUUGACUGCGAGACAGACAUGUCGGGCAGGUACGAAAGUAGGAACUAGUGAUCCGGCACCUCCUUGUGGAAGGGGUGUCGCUCAACGGAUAAAAGGUACCCCGGGGAUAACAGGCUGAUCUUGCCCAAGAGCUCAUAUCGACGGCAUGGUUUGGCACCUCGAUGUCGGCUCGUCGCAUCCUGGGGCUGGAGUAGGUCCCAAGGGUUAGGCUGUUCGCCUAUUAAAGCGGUACGCGAGCUGGGUUUAGAACGUCGUGAGACAGUUCGGUCCCUAUCCGCUGCGCGCGUUGGAAAUUUGAGAAGACCUGUCCCUAGUACGAGAGGACCGGGAUGGACUAACCUCUGGUGUGCCAGUUGUUCUGCCAAGGGCAUGGCUGGUUGGCUACGUUGGGAAGGGAUAACCGCUGAAAGCAUCUAAGCGGGAAGCCUGCUUCAAGAUGAGAUUUCCUUGCCUCCUUGAGGGGUGUGAGGUCCCCUGUAGAUGACGGGGUUGAUAGGCCAGGUGUGGAAGCAUUGUAAGGUGUGGAGCUGACUGGUACUAAUAGGCCGAUGGCUUAAUAAA